rnacentral:rRNA from 1 species
UACGGGGGGGGCAAGCGUUGUUCGGAAUUACUGGGCGUAAAGCGUGCGCAGGCGGUUAUGUAAGACAGAUGUGAAAUGCCCGGGCUUAACCUGGGAACUGCAUUUGUGACUGCAUGGCUAGAGUUUGGCAGAGGGGGGUAGAAUUCCACGUGUAGCAGUGAAAUGCGUAGAUAUGUGGAGGAACACCGAUGGCGAAGGCAGCCCCCUGGGUCAAGACUGACGCUCAUGCACGAAAGGCGUGGGGAGCAAACGAGGAUUACGAAA